rnacentral:rRNA from 1 species
CUACCAUGCAGUCGUACGGUGACAGGCGCUACGGAUGCUGACGAGUGGCGGACGGGUGAGUAAUGCGUAGGAAUCUGUCUUUUAGUGGGGGACAACCCAGGGAAACUUGGGCUAAUACCGCAUGAGCCCUGAGGGGGAAAGCGGGGGAUCUUCGGACCUCGCGCUAAGGGAAGAGCCUACGUCUGAUUAGCUAGUUGGUAGGGUAAAGGCCUACCAAGGCGACGAUCAGUAACUGGUCUGAGAGGACGACCAGCCACACUGGGACUGGAGACACGGCCCGACUCCUACGGGAGGCAGCAGUGGGGAAUUUUUCGCAUGGGGGGGAGCCCGGG